rnacentral:tRNA from 1 species
GGAAAGGUGGCAGAGCGGUUGAAUGCAUCAGUUUUGAAAACUGUCGUAGUGAUUUUCAUUACCGGGGGUUCGAAUCCCCCCCUUUCCU